AGGAUUAUAGUUAACUAUAACAUUUAAUUUGCAAUUAAAAAGUGUUCAUUUUAAAGAACUAAUCUUU
rnacentral:tRNA from 1 species